AGCAAGACUCCGUUUCAAAAAAAAAAAAAAAAAGAAGCUAAAAGAUGCUCAUCCAUAGAGCCAAAAGAAGCUCUGUGGGGAAUCAGAACAGGAUUGGAUAUGGAUUGAAAAACUGGGACUUGAAGUGCAGGCUUGCAGCUUCCUGGCUUGCAACUUCCUAGCAGUGGCACCAUGGAUGGCCAUUUAGAGAGGCAUGUUGUUCAGUGCCAAAAACAUGGGGUUCUGAAGGCGCAUCAGCCUGGGCUUGAAUACUGGCUCUGCCACCAAAGCCAUUUACUGACAGCCUUCAUGGCCUCUUCGCAAGAGUAGUGGAACUGUGUGAUCACAGUGGACCUUCUAAUGCGUUACUCUACAAAGAGCUUAUAGAAAAAAUGGAAUGAAGAAAAGCUUCCAUUCACCCGAUAAACAGAAAGAAUUCGGAUCUAUGGCAGUUUUUACCAGGGCUGAGUCUGCCAACGGAGCCCGCAUGUUCAUCCUUUGAUACACAUGAGCAGGGCCCCCCGCAUGCUAAAGUCCACGGCCCACCCCACCCCUACAGUCUUUUGUUAAUGAGCCAUGAACAAACCAUACACAGAAAGCAGCUUCUUUUUUUCUUCAAUUUAAUUGAAGUUACUUAGAAAAAUAAUCAGGCUUGAAUGGCUUUUCCUGGAGGAAGGUUCAUGAACAUUUUCACGCUUUUGUUGGCAAUGUGGAAUUCAGCUUUCUUUAACAGUACAGCAAGAUACAGGGAGCGUUUUCUACAACAGGCCCUCUACUGCAUACAAAUAUGUAAAAAAAGAAAAUCACACUCCACAAAGAUGUGAAAUUACAUGUCCAUAUGCCAUACUGAGCAUGCUCAUAAGAAAUUAGUAUGGGCAGCUCCUUCUGGACCUAACAAAGUAUAGCAGACUGACGUUUGCCUGUUAUCAGCCAAGGGUCAAGCGGAUUCUAGAAGGCCUUGUUGCCUGUAGGGUUCUAACUGGUUGUGAUGGAAAAAGGUUGGAGGAAAUGCUGGUGGUGGGAACUUGGGGGAGUGAUGUGGUCAGUCCUGCUGACAUAGAAGUGGGCAAGGAAGGGAUUUGGUCACUGGGAUUGCACAGAAUGGGGCAGCUGAGAUUGUGUGUGUGUGUGUGUGUAUGUGUGUGUGUAUGUAGGGGAGGACUGGCUAGGAAAGCAAGCAGAGUCUCUCGGCUUCUUCUGCCAACUCUAUCUCAGCGCUGAUCGAGACCCCACCAGCCAAGCAUUUGUGGGACCCACACACUUUGUUCUGGAGCUUUCUAGUAGCCAGGAUUAGACCCCUGUGCUUCAUGCUUUUGCCACCAGGUGAACCGGUGCAACUUGCAACUGAAGUUUCCACUGCCCGCUGCUCUCCUGUGGCAUCCACAUCCUGAAUAGGCAGGAGGGUGCAGCUCACCUGGUGCACAGGGAGGAGGAGGAACGUCCCCUCUGAGACACUACAGGCACACUUCACCAGUGGAUUUCUUUAACCAAGGACACAGAAUUUAUACAUUCUGCAAAAAACAGUUGAAUCCAUUUUUUUUUUUUUAAGUUUCAAUGCCAUUAGAAAAGAAAAUGUGAACACAAAGCAAAACACGGGGAGAAAGAGUCCCUCAUUCCAGAAAUCUAUUGAUGUCAUGUCCCCUGAAGGACAAUCUUUCUCACUUAAGAGAGAGAAGCCGGAUGAAAGAAGGCCAUCUUCACAUGACAGUGAGCUGGCUUGUACAACUGAUCAAAGACGGACAUAGAAAUGCAAAGCAACAUGAAUUUCCAUUGAAAAUCCCCCAAAAAGCACAGGGAACGAUUCCAAACUAUGAAACUGAAGAAACACUCAUCAAGAGAUCAUCUGUUCCCACUGAGCACCCUUUUGAGCUUGAGGAGGAGGGAGCCACCCUGGGCCCUAUACCCUACUCGCCCUCUCCUCUCUUCCUUCUGUCCACACCACCCAAGACUUCCUCCACUCCCUCUGGGAGGGAUGGAAUCGUAGUCCAUGGCAGUAUCCAGGAUUAGAACCAUUGCACUUAAGUAAAAGCUUAAUUCAUUUAAUAAAGUACCUCUUGCUAUAUAAACCA